rnacentral:rRNA from 1 species
GACAAACGCUGGCGGGGUGCAUGAGACAUGCAAGUCGAACGGGGUUGAGCGGGCUUGCUCGAUCAACCUAGUGGCGGACGGCUGAGUAACGCGUAGGUGACCUACCCGGAAGUGGGGAAUAACUGCCCGAAAGGGUGGCUAAUACCGCAUGUGGUCGGCGAUUCACAUCGCCGCCCAAAGCCGUAAGGCGCUUCCGGAGAGGCCUGCGUCCGAUUAGCUAGUUGGUGGGGUAAUGGCNCACCAAGGCGACGAUCGGUAGCUGGUCUGAGAGGAUGAUCAGCCAGACUGGGACUGAGAACGGCCAGACUCCUACGGGAGGCAGCAGUCGGGAAUUUUGCCCAAUGGACGAAAGUCUGAGGCAGC